GAUGAACGCUGGCGGUAGGUUUUAACACAUGCAAGUCGAGCGCAGGAAACUGACGGAACUCUUCGGAGGGAAGGCAGUGGAAUGAGCGGCGGACGGGUGGGUAACACGUAAGGAACCUGCCUCAAGGAUUGGGAUAACUCCGAGAAAUCGGAGCUAAUACCGGAUAGUUCAUCGGACCGCAUGGUCCGUUGAUGAAAGGCGCUCCGGCGUCACCUUGAGAUGGCCUUGCGGUGCAUUAGCUAGUUGGUGGGGUAACGGCCCACCAAGGCGACGAUGCAUAGCCGACCUGAGAGGGUGAUCGGCCACACUGGGACUGAGACACGGCCCAGACUCCUACGGGAGGCAGCAGUAGGGAAUCUUCCACAAUGGACGAAAGUCUGAUGGAGCAACGCCGCGUGAGUGAUGAAGGUUUUCGGAUCGUAAAACUCUGUUGUAAGGGAAGAACACGUACGAGAGGAAAUGCUCGUACCUUGACGGUACCUUACGAGAAAGCCACGGCUAACUACGUGCCAGCAGCCGCCGCAGUAA
rnacentral:rRNA from 1 species